ensembl:misc_RNA Metazoa_SRP Metazoan signal recognition particle RNA
GCCGGGCGCGGUGGUGCGUGCCUGUAAUCCCAGCUACUCGGGAGGCUGAGGCUGGAGGAUCGCUUGAGCCCAGGAGUUCUGGGCUGCAGUGCACUAUGCCAGUCGGUUGUCCGCACUAAGUUCGGCAUCAAUAUGGUGACCUCCCGGGAGCGGGGGACCACCGGGUUGCCUAAGGAGGGGUAAACCGGCCCAGGUCGGAAACGGAGCAGGUCAAAACUCCCGUGCUGAUCAGUAGUGGGAUCGCGCCUGUGAAUAGCCACUGUACUCCAGCCUGGGCAACACAGCGAGACCCUGUCUCAA